rnacentral:rRNA from 1 species
AUUGAACGCUGGCGGCAUGCUUUACACAUGCAAGUCGAACGGCAGCAUAGAGAGCUUGCUCUCUGAUGGCGAGUGGCGAACGGGUGAGUAAUGCAUCGGAACGUGUCCGUUUGUGGGGGACAACUAUCCGAAAGGAUAGCUAAUACCGCAUGAGACCUGAGGGUGAAAGCCGGGGACCGCAAGGCCUGGCGCAAACGGAGCGGCCGAUGUCUGAUUAGCUAGUUGGGGAGGUAACGGCUCACCAAGGCGACGAUCAGUAGCUGGUCUGAGAGGACGACCAGCCACACUGGAACUGAGACACGGUCCAG